rnacentral:rRNA from 1 species
UGGGGAAUAUUGCGCAAUGGGGGCAACCCUGACGCAGCAACGCCGCGUGAUUGAAGAAGGCCUUCGGGUUGUAAAGAUCUUUAAUCAGGGACGAAGAAUGACGGUACCUGAAGAAUAAGCUCCGGCUAACUACGUGCCAGCAGCCGCGGUAAUACGUAGGGAGCAAGCGUUAUCCGGAUUUACUGGGUGUAAAGGGCGAGUAGGCGGACAGGUAAGUCAGAAGUGAAAUCUGGGGGCUUAACCCCCAAACUGCUUUUGAAACUAUUUGUCUUGAGUGAUGGAGAGGCAGGCGGAAUUCCUAGUGUAGCGGUGAAAUGCGUAGAUAUUAGGAGGAACACCAGUGGCGAAGGCGGCCUGCUGGACAUUAACUGACGCUGAGGCGCGAAAGCGUGGGGAGCAAACAGG